UACGUAGGGGGCUAGCGUUGUUCGGAAUUACUGGGCGUAAAGCGUACGUAGGCGGCUUUGUAAGUUAGAGGUGAAAGCCCGGGGCUCAACUCCGGAAUUGCCUUUAAGACUGCAUCGCUUGAAUCAUGGAGAGGUGAGUGGAAUUCCGAGUGUAGAGGUGAAAUUCGUAGAUAUUCGGAAGAACACCAGUGGCGAAGGCGACUCACUGGACAUGUAUUGACGCUGAGGUACGAAAGCGUGGGGAGCAAACAGG
rnacentral:rRNA from 1 species